rnacentral:rRNA from 1 species
UACGUAGGGUGCGAGCGUUGUCCGGAAUUAUUGGGCGUAAAGAGCUCGUAGGCGGUCUGUCGCGUCGGUCGUGAAAACUUGGGGCUUAACCCUGAGCUUGCAGUCGAUACGGGCAGGCUGGAGUUCGGUAGGGGAGACUGGAAUUCCUGGUGUAGCGGUGAAAUGCGCAGAUAUCAGGAGGAACACCGGUGGCGAAGGCGGGUCUCUGGGCCGAUACUGACGCUGAGGAGCGAAAGCGUGGGGAGCGAACAGG